AAAUUGAAGAGUUUGAUCAUGGCUCAGAUUGAACGCUGGCGGCAGGCCUAACACAUGCAAGUCGAGCGGUAGCACAGAGAGCUUGCUCUCGGGUGACGAGCGGCGGACGGGUGAGUAAUGUCUGGGAAACUGCCUGAUGGAGGGGGAUAACUACUGGAAACGGUAGCUAAUACCGCAUAACGUCGCAAGACCAAAGUGGGGGACCUUCGGGCCUCAUGCCAUCAGAUGUGCCCAGAUGGGAUUAGCUAGUAGGUGGGGUAAUGGCUCACCUAGGCGACGAUCCCUAGCUGGUCUGAGAGGAUGACCAGCCACACUGGAACUGAGACACGGUCCAGACUCCUACGGGAGGCAGCAGU
rnacentral:rRNA from 1 species